UGGCUCAAAUGAACGUUGGCGGCGUGGAUUAGGCAUGCAAGUCGAGCGAGUAGGGGCUGCUCAUCACGUCCAUCGGACUAGCCCCCGGUUCUUCAAACCGGGCGGUGGCAUCCCGUGGCCGAGAUGAGUAGCCCCGGACAGCGGCGAAAGGGAGAGUAACGCGUAGUUAUGUACCCAGGGGUUCGGAAUAGCCACGGGAAACUGUGGGUAAUGCCGAAUAAUAUCUCCGGAUCAAAGGUGUGAUUCCGCCCUUGGAGCAGACUGCGUCCUACUAGCUAGUUGGUGGGGUAAUGGCCCACCAAGGCAACAAUGGGUAGCGGGUGUGAGAGCAUGACCCGUCUCACUGGGACUGAGACACUGCCCAGACACCUACGGGUGGCUGCAGUCGAGAAUCUUCGGCAAUGGGCGAAAGCCUGACCGAGCGACGCCGCGUGCGGGAUGAAGGCCCUCGGGUCGUAAACCGCUGUCGUAGGGGAGGAAGGCUCUGUGAAGAACAGGGUUUGACCUAUCCUAGGAGGAAGUUCGGGCUAAGUUCGUGCCAGCAGCCGCGGUAAUACGAACCGUACAAACGUUAUUCGGAAUCACUGGGCUUAAAGGGUGCGUAGGCGGCCACGUAAGUGAGAUGUGAAAUCCCUCGGCUCACCGAGGAAGUGCAUUUCAUACUGCAUGGCUUGAGGGAGACAGGGGUAAGCGGAACUGAUGGUGGAGCGGUGAAAUGCGUUGAUAUCAUCAGAACACCGGUGGCGAAGCGGCUUACUGGGUCUCUUCUGACGCUGAGUACGAAAGCUAGGGAGCG
rnacentral:rRNA from 1 species